rnacentral:rRNA from 1 species
UGGGGAAUUUUGGACAAUGGGCGAAAGCCUGAUCCAGCAAUGCCGCGUGUGUGAAGAAGGCCUUCGGGUUGUAAAGCACUUUUGUCCGGAAAGAAAUCCUUGGCUCUAAUACAGUCGGGGGAUGACGGUACCGGAAGAAUAAGCACCGGCUAACUACGUGCCAGCAGCCGCGGUAAUACGUAGGGUGCAAGCGUUAAUCGGAAUUACUGGGCGUAAGCGUGCGCAGGCGGUUUGCUAAGACCGAUGUGAAAUCCCCGGGCUCAACCUGGGAACUGCAUUGGUGACUGGCAGGCUAGAGUAUGGCAGAGGGGGGUAGAAUUCCACGUGUAGCAGUGAAAUGCGUAGAGAUGUGGAGGAAUACCGAUGGCGAAGGCAGCCCCCUGGGCCAAUACUGACGCUCAUGCACGAAAGCGUGGGGAGCAAACAGGAUUAGAUACCCUGGUAGUCCACGCCCUAAACGAUGUCAACUAGUUGUUGGGGAUUCAUUCCUUAGUAACGUAGCUAACGCGUGAGUUGACCGCCUGGGGAGUACGGUCGC